UCGCGUUCACGUGUGCACCUGUGCUUAUCAGCCCAUCGGAUGAUCGCUGGAAAAGUGCAAGUUGUGAUAACAAUCGAGCAAAAGACACCAAAAAUCUUAGCAAUUGAAGGAAUAAAUCAUCGCUGAAUAAUAAAUCAGCUUCAGUAGUGCGCCCCUCCCCUCGCGUUUACCUGUGCGUCUCUCCCCUCGCGAUGACGUGUGCACGUGUGCAUGUCAAACCAUCGGAUGAUCGCCGGAAAAGUACCGUUUUGCUGAAACAGUACAAGUUGUGAUAAAAAUCGUACAAAAACACCAAAAAUCUCUGCAAUGGAAGGAAUAAAUCAUCGCUGAAUAAUAAUCAUGCAUAAUCAUGAAUAAUCAUCAUCAUCAAGAAUCUGUGAAAUGGAAGGAGUUAAUUAUCGAUGAAUCUCAGCCAAGUCUGCGAUGGCGAUGAAAGAUAACUGCGGAUGCAGAGAUACUACGCCGCCUGAGAAUCAUCGCGGCGGCUUAAUCAGGCAAAAAGCUGAAUGGAUUUGAUUGAAAUUUAUGCCAAAGCCGCGACACAGUGACAACUGCGGAGAUCUAUGGCCCCGGGGAUGAGUUGCCGGGCUGCCAUGCUGCCAGAUGAGAUGAGAUCAGUUCACCGAAGACACUCCCUCGCCUCAUCAAUUCCUAGCCAGCUUUCGGCAUGAAAUCAUUGUGGGUGUGCCCCACACACACACACACACAUCUACACUUUGUAUUAAAAAUGGGUGAUGAAAGCACAACAACAGCAACAACAACCAGAGAAAGAUGGAGAAGAAGCCGAGGCAGAGCAACAAGUGGGAUCCAAACGAGAACGAGAGAAAAUUUGUUUGCUUUGGCAGCGGAGUGCCAGAGUGCCGUUGGUGCGGUUUUUAUAUAUUUCAAAUACCCUCAACAAAGUGGGUGCUGGGCCACCAACAAUUGCGGCAAAUGAACUCUGAGCAAUUGAGGGCAGGCCAAGGAACGUGACUGAGAAGCCGAGCGGCCUUAGCCAGAAUCGAGGAGCGGAUGAAGGAAAGUUGCUGCACAUUUCACCCCCCCCUCA